GACGAACGCUGGCGGCGUGCCUAACACAUGCAAGUCGAACGGAAAGGCCCUGCUUUUGUGGGGUGCUCGAGUGGCGAACGGGUGAGUAACACGUGAGUAACCUGCCCUUGACUUUGGGAUAACUUCAGGAAACUGGGGCUAAUACCGGAUAGGAGCUCCUGCUGCAUGGUGGGGGUUGGAAAGUUUCGGCGGUUGGGGAUGGACUCGCGGCUUAUCAGCUUGUUGGUGGGGUAGUGGCUUACCAAGGCUUUGACGGGUAGCCGGCCUGAGAGGGUGACCGGCCACAUUGGGACUAAGAUACGGCCCAGACUCCUACGGGAGGCAGCAGUGGGGAAUAUUGCACAAUGGGCGGAAGCCUGAUGCAGCAACGCCGCGUGCGGGAUGACGGCCUUCGGGUUGUAAACCGCUUUCGCCUGUGACGAAGCGUGAGUGACGGUAAUGGGUAAAGAAGCACCGGCUAACUACGUG
rnacentral:rRNA from 1 species